rnacentral:rRNA from 1 species
UACAGAGGAUGCAAGCGUUAUCCGGAAUGAUUGGGCGUAAAGCGUCUGUAGGUGGCUUUUUAAGUCCGCCGUCAAAUCCCAGGGCUCAACUCUGGACAGGCGGUGGAAACUACCAAGUUGGAGUACGGUAGGGGCAGAGGGAAUUUCCGGUGGAGCGGUGAAAUGCGUAGAGAUCGGAAAGAACACCAACGGCGAAAGCGCUCUGCUGGGCCGACACUGACGCUGAGAGACGAAAGCUAGGGGAGCGAAUGGG